AUGUUUGCUGCAAGACUAGGACAAAUCGAGUGCUUUGAGGCCCUUAGAUUAAAAACGAAUUAGCCCAGUUUAAGGAAAAAUAUAGAGAAAUAUACUUAUUCUAGGCAAUGUGAGCGAUGCAGUUCAGUUUCAGCGUCGCUUGAAGCCAUCUCAGAUCUAGUUUGAGAGUUCUUCGGGGAAACAGAGGCUCUCCUCGGUUCCCUUUAGCCAUGGAGACCAUGGAGGUGUAUGAGGAGACUGAUCGGAGGAUGACGGAGGAGGUGGAGAGCUGCUACACCCUGAUGGAGGUCACCUCUCCCAAGAAGAGGAAGAAGAACAAGGCUCAGCAGGGGGAGAUCAUGGAGAAACCCAAGAAACCCAGAUCAGCCUACCUGCUGUACUACUUUGAUGUGCACCAGACCAUGCAGCAGGACUUCCCCAGCCUGCCCCAGUCUGAGAUCAACAAGAGGAUCAGUGUGAGCUGGAAGAGGCUCAAUGUGGCAGACAAGGGUUACUACCUGGAGAAGGCCAAGCUGGAGAAGGAAGGGACAGACACUUCAUCUAUGGGCCCUUCCCAGGAGCUCCCAGGCUUCCGUAGGAUCCUCCCCAGGGCAAACUACGUCCUCCUGCCCAAGGGGGCCAUGUCAGACGACAGGACAGGCUCCCAGCUGGAGGUGUGUAUGGAGGGGCUGGACUCUCCCGUGGGGGAAGGGGUGUUGCCCUCCCUGUCCCUUGGUUCCCCCCAGUACCCUCCCUUGGUGCUGGGCUGCGAGGUGGAGCUGUCGCAGCAGUGCAUCGCCAUUGAGGGCCUGACAGACGAAAAGGCUGUGACCCUUACACACUCCGGGGCCCUGCAGGGGGUUCUCUCCUCAUCGUAUCACUCCUCGUCCUCAGUCUCUGCCGCCCACGAAUCCCACAAUGCACCUCACCUGGCGUCAGCCGGUCUGCUGCUCAAGGAGGAGGAGCCCAGGAUGGUGGGCGGGGGCUAUAGUGUCAUUGGAAUGGCGACUGACGGGAGGCGUGUGGGCGGGACGUCGGUGCAGCACGUGAAAACAGAGCUGGUCACCAUCAUACCCAAUCAGGAUCUGAUGGAGCACAGGACGUUGCCAGGAGCCAGCUCUGUAGCCUCUGUUGUCAUGGUACCUGUAGGAGCUAGGGUGAUACGGGACACUAAUCCCUCAUACAAACUGUCGAAUAAAUACACCAGAAGAGGUCGGGGCAGCUGUCAGACAGCGGGCUGCUCCUUUGUCUACGUGACCCGUCACAAACCACCCUUCUGCCCUGAUUGUGGCAACCACCUGGGGGGCAAGUGGGUGCCUGCUGCAGUGAAGACUCCAGGUGCUGCUGCUUCAUUCAAGACUUAUGCCCAGAAACCACCCAAAAACCCUGGGUACCCCCCUAAGACUGGUGUGCCUCCCUCUGAUGAUCAGAACAGUAAGGUGUCUGGAUGGAGGAAGGGAGGGAGAGGACCGCGGGAGCCCAGAGAAGUGCAGCAGCGUGCAGUUACACCAGGACCACCACUAGAGGGAGGCAGAGCCAACAGCCAGGGAGUCAUACAGCCUGCUCCAGCGGUGUCAGGGACACAGACAACUACUAUGAUAGCUUUGGUUGGAACACCUGUGACUGGUGCCAGGGUCAAAGUACAGGAAAGGAGCAGUGUGGUUGGUCAAAAGCGACCUGUGAGAGCCAUCCUCCCAGCCCCAUUCAACACAGGCCGGGCCUUAGUCCAGUGGAUUACUGUCCCUCCUCAUAAAGGCAAAGUUGGGGAGACCAACUGCAGCAAAUCAACCACAGAGCUCAGUGAGAUGAUCGCAGGUUUGAAGCCUAACACUCUGAAACAGCUCGGCCAGAUCGUGACAACACCACCUCUGGAACAGACUCUCCCUACUCCUGUGGACAGAAGCCAGUAUAUUGUAACUGAUAAAGUAGGGAAGAUCCUCUCAGUGGUUCCUCUCAAACAGAACUCUACCUCCACACUGGACCUGGGUCUGUCUACGGCGCGUGGCAGGGGUCGCUGUAAGAACCCGUCAUGUGGCUAUGUUUAUAAGAACAGACACAAGCCUGCGGAGUGCCCCUGCUGUGGCUUGGAGCUGUCCAGGAAGAACGCCAAGGGCUCCAAGGCACAGGGUGGUUCAGUAGCUCUGUUAGACCCGUACCGGACCCUGUCCCCAGCCCAGAGGGAGCUUCAGCGCCAGUCCACCCUGCAGCUGCUGCGCCAGGCCCUGCAGAUCUCUGAGAGUGAGGCUGAGCUCCAUGACACCCUGGCCCUCAUCCAGGAACUCAACUCUACCCAGGUGGUCCUCACCACGACCACCACCCAGGCCGGGGACCAGGUGUUAGGGGAAGGGGAGGGCCUGGGGGAGGUGCAGGUCCAGUCAGGCUGGCCGCGGUUCUAUGAGUCUGCAGCCACACACUGUGCUCUGUGUCACUACCCGCUAUUCAAGGGAGGACAGAGUUCUUUAGCAGGGCAGGAGGACUGCUGGCUGUUGACUGACUCUCUGAUCCAGACAGCCUCUCUCCAGCUGAAGGUGUGUCUCAACCCCCAGUGUCUGGCCCUGCACAGCUUCACCGACCUCCACCCAGGUCUGUUCAAUGUUGGCAACAGGUUGCUGGUGAGUCUGGACCUGUUCUUUAAGAUCCGGAGUCAGAUCAGACUGGGCCGGCAUCCUAACCAGAUAGUCAGGACCAUCCUGGACCACAUCCACAACCACGCUGUCCACACUCUGAGUCCUGAGGAGUUGGCCCAUGUCCAGGAGCUGCUGGUUAGUGGCUACUGGGCCUUUGAGUGUCUGACCGUGAGGGACUACAACGACAUGAUCUGUGGUGUGUGUGGCAUUGCCCCCAAGAUGGAGAUCGCCCAGCGGUACACACACAACGUGCUGGAGCUUAGGAAUGUGGAGUUUACGUGGCCAGACUUCGGGGCCCCAGACAAGGUGCAUGUGGAUGACUUCUGGCUGACCAUGGAGAGUGAGGCCAUCGAGCAGGCAGCGUUCCCCUGCAGCGUCCCCAUCACCCGGGUCGACGCCUCAAUCAUCGCCCCCUUCAUCCCACCACUAAUGAGGAGCUCCACUGUCAUCAACACAGAGAAGGACAAGGCUCUGCUCCUCACACAGCACACAGGUGACCCAUCCGUUCUGGUGCGUCUGAUCCACGAGGGCCAACUCAGACCGGACCGAAUGGAUGAGCACAGUGCAGAGGAGCUCAAAGCCAUACUGGAAUGCUGUGGCGAGAUCACUGCACCAGAGAGCAACAAGGAUGAGUUGCUGGUCUCUCUGAUCUCCCUGUGUACGUGUGUUCAGAACGGCCUUUCCACGGCCCCCCAGCCCCCUCCACACCUCACAGCAGGCAAGCUGUCCAAGAUCUGCCCCCAUCAGGUGGUGUGUGGUUCCAAGUACCUGGUGAAGGGUGAGACGGCACGCGACCACGUGGACCUGCUGGUGUCCUCCCGGUAUUGGCCUCCCGUCUACGUUACCGACUCUGCCCGCCAGGUGGCGCUGUGUACAGACGUGCAGUACCCUGAGCUGGCCUCCACCAUGUGGGGCAGGAACCAGGGCUGCUUCUCUGAUCCCAUGGACAAACCAGAGUUUGUGUCGUGUGCUGAGCUACAGGACCAGCCUUACUGUGCUGACCUGUCCUCUGUGGUGGAGAACCCCCAGGUCCACCCUGUCACCAAGUCCUCUUCCCGCUGGAUAGUGCACCCUGCUGGGCCUACAGAUGGCCAGGAGCCCCCCUGUCUGGACCACCACUCAAUGGGGCUCUGCAAUGAGCUGGAACCUUAUUGCAGCCUGGUACAAGACCUGGAGAGAGACAACGAGAAAGAAGAGGACAAAGGGAAGGAGGAGAAGAAGGAUGGGUUCAAGGUUGAAGCCGAGGUAACAGAAGGGUCAGACGUCACUGAGGAGGAAUGUUCUGAGGGUUUGGUGACAUCAUUGCGGCGGCGACCUUUGGCCUUUGACAACACGGCCUACUACUACCUGUACAACCGUCUGCAGGACUUCCUGUCCAGCCGGGUGGUGGUGGACCAGCAGAUCAGCACAGUGCUGAAGGCCUGCCAGCCUGGGGAGGUAGUGAUCAGGGAUGCCCUCUACAGGCUGGGGGUGGCACAGAUCAACACAGAGGAAGGGGAGGAGGUGGAAGGAGACAGGGGGGUGGAGGGAGACACUGGGUAUGAGGAGGUAGUGGUUCUCUGAGAGUGACAGACUGUGGCUUUUUGGAGAUUUAUUUUGUGCUGUGACCCAACAAGUAAACAAACCAAUAUAACUUUCUGACAUUGGGGGAUAAUGUUUAAUAUUAUGGACAUAUGGGCCACAUUGUUAUGAGGUAGUCCUUUUUUUAGAAAGAAGGCAACAUAUAUAUGGUUCAGAAAAGCUAGCGUGUCGUGGGGAGGCUGGUAGUCCUUGAAUGUACUGUGCAAAAAUAUGCUUGAGUGUUUCCAAAGAAACAGAGGUGUUGCUGCUAACCAGACAGAUAGUCUGUAACUUAUCAGUCCAGCAGAGACUUUGUUGCUGGUUUGAAAUGAAAGAAUGGCACUUCGUUUUCUUUGUGGGAGAAGCAGAACCAGAGUGUAAAAGAGUGUAAAAACGUGAAUGUUACUAACUGCUCUCUGCUUUACUUUGAAGGAAAGUUCACAUAGUUUUAGAAUAGAUAACAACGUUUAAAAACAUUGUUUAUGUUGACGAACUUCAUUGUUGGAGUGCAUAAUGUUCUUUCUAGAAGUAUAAUUAUUAUUAUUAUUUAAUAACUGUAUUUAAUGAGUCCUCGUGCUUUCUCAUCCUUAGUAAGACCUUUCACACUGUUCUAUGCUAUCUUCUUGUACCUCAGUUGUCACUCGUUGCCCUUUGGGCUGAAAUGUAUUCAAGGUAAACAACCUUUCACAUCUGCCUCAUGGGCUGAUGGAAUCUGUAGUUCUUGUGGCCUUUGAUUGUGUUUUUGACCACAGGAGAGUCUUGCCUGAGCUCCUAUUGGAGGGGUGGCUCUGAAUGUCAGGACUGUUCUAUCAUCUACUCUCAGCUGCUUGAAUGGAAUCUAAAGAAGACAAUGAUUGACUUGAUGAUGUAACUGUGAUGGACAUAGUUAUUACAAUUUGCGGAUGGAACUUGACACCCACUCAAGGGGGUGGUCUGGUAUUGCUCAACCUCCCAUGAGAACAGGGAAUGAAACUUCAGAAGAUUGCAGAGAAGGCAUUUUCAUUUGAAACGGGAACUGAGGUAAAAACGGUUUUUGUUCACUGUCGUAUGACGUACUAUGGAGUAGAGGCUGAAAUGUUGAAACAAGUCCACAGGGAAAUAUAAUGUGGUA